UACGUAGGGUGCAGGCGUUAAUCGGAAUUACUGGGCGUAAAGCGUGCGCAGGCGGUUUCUUAAGUCAGAUGUGAAAGCCCCGGGCUUAACCUGGGAACUGCGUUUGAAACUGGGAGACUUGAGUGUGGCAGAGGGGGGUGGAAUUCCACGUGUAGCAGUGAAAUGCGUAGAGAUGUGGAGGAAUAUCAAUGGCGAAGGCAGCCCCCUGGGAUAAUAUUGACGCUCAUGCACGAAAGCGUGGGGAGCAAACAGG
rnacentral:rRNA from 1 species